GACGAACGCUGGCGGCGUGCUUAACACAUGCAAGUCGAACGGAAAGGCCCUGCUUGCAGGGUGCUCGAGUGGCGAACGGGUGAGUAACACGUGGGUGAUCUGCCCCUUAUUUUGGGAUAAGCCUGGGAAACUGGGUCUAAUACUGGAUAGGACCAUGCUGUAGGUGGUGUGGUGGAAAGAUUAGUUUCGGUAAGGGAUGAGCUCGCGGCCUAUCAGCUUGUUGGUGGGGUAAUGGCCUACCAAGGCGUCGACGGGUAGCCGGCCUGAGAGGGUGGACGGCCACAUUGGGACUGAGAUACGGCCCAGACUCCUACGGGAGGCAGCAGUGGGGAAUAUUGCACAAUGGGCGCAAGCCGGAUGCAGCGACGCCGCGUGGGGGAUGACGGCCUUCGGGUUGUAAACUCCUUUCAGCCAUGACGAAGCCCUUGUGGUGACGGUAGUGGUAGAAGAGGCACCGGCUAACUACGUG
rnacentral:rRNA from 1 species